rnacentral:rRNA from 1 species
AGCGAACGCUGGCGGCAGGCUUAACACAUGCAAGUCGAGCGGGCGUAGCAAUACGUCAGCGGCAGACGGGAGAGUAAUACGUGGGAACGUGCCCUUUGGUUCGGAAUAACUCAGGGAAACUUGAGCUAAUACCGGAUAAGCCCUUACGGGGAAAGAUUUAUCGCCAUUGGAGCGGCCCACGUCUGAUUAGCUAGUUGGUGAGGUAACGGCUCACCAAGGCGACGAUCAGUAGCUGGUCUGAGAGGAUGACCAGCCUCAUUGGGACUGAGACACGGCCCAAACUCCUACGGGAGGCAGCAGUGGGGAAUAUUGGACAAUGGGCGAAAGCCUGAUCCAGCCAUGCCGCGUGAGUGAUGAAGGCCUUAGGGUUGUAAAGCUCUUUUAGCAGGGAAGAUAAUGACGGUACCUGCAGAAAAAGCCCCGGCUAACUUCGUG